rnacentral:rRNA from 1 species
UAGGGAAUCUUCCGCAAUGGGCGAAAGCCUGACGGAGCAACGCCGCGUGAGUGAUGAAGGUCUUCGGAUCGUAAAACUCUGUUAUUAGGGAAGAACAAAUGUGUAAGUAACUAUGCACGUCUUGACGGUACCUAAUCAGAAAGCCACGGCUAACUACGUGCCAGCAGCCGCGGUAAUACGUAGGUGGCAAGCGUUAUCCGGAAUUAUUGGGCGUAAAGCGCGCGUAGGCGGUUUUUUAAGUCUGAUGGGAAAGCCCACGGCUCAACCGUGGAGGGUCAUUAGAAACUGGAAAGCUUGAGUGCAGAAGAGGAAAGUGGAAUUCCAUGUGUAGCGGUGAAAUGCACAGAGAUAUGGAGGAAAACCAGUGGCGAAAGCGACUUUCUGGUCUGUAACUGACGCUGAUGUGCGAAAGCGUGGGGAUCAAACAGG